CACGCAGGCGGACCUGUAAGUCUGUCGUCAAAGGCGGAGGCUCAACCUUCGUUCCACGAUAGAUACUGCGGGUCUAGAGUAUGUGAGAGGGAAGUGGAAUUCCCGGUGUAGCGGUGAAAUUCGUAGAUAUUCGCAAGAACACCAGUGGCGAAGGCGGCUCACUGGGCCAUUACUGACGCUGAGGCACGAAAGCGUGGGAGCAAACA
rnacentral:rRNA from 1 species